UACGUGAGGGUGCGAGCGUUUGUCCGGAAUUAUUGGGCGUAAAGGGCUCGUAGGCGGUUUGUCGCGUCGGGAGUGAAAGUCAACUGGGGCUUAACCCGAGUGCUUGCCUUUCGAAUACGGGCAGACUUGAGGCAUUCAGGGGAGAACGGAAUUCCUGGUGUAGCGGUGAAAUGCGCAGAUAUCAGGAGGAACACCGAUGGCGAAGGCAGGUCUCUGGGCAUUAACUGACGCUGAGGAAGCGAAAGGCAUGGGGAGCGAACAGG
rnacentral:rRNA from 1 species